GGCGGGCCUAACACAUGCAAGUCGAACGAGAAUGUAGGCUUCGGUCUACUAGUAAAGUGGCGGACGGGUGCGUAACACGUGGGUAAUCUACCUUCCGGCGGGGGACAACAGUCCGAAAGGAUUGCUAAUACCGCAUACGUCAGCGAGGCCUACGGGCUUUGUUGGGAAAGAUGGCCUCUCUUCAGAAGCUGUCACCGGAAGAUGAGCCCGCGCCCCAUCAGCUAGUUGGUGAGGUAAUGGCUCACCAAGGCUUAGACGGGUAGCUGGUCUGAGAGGAUGAUCAGCCACACUGGGACUGCGACACGGCCCAGACUCCUACGGGAGGCAGCAGUGGGGAAUAUUGGGCAAUGGGCGAAAGCCUGACCCAGCCACGCCGCGUGAGUGAUGAAGGCCUUCGGGUCGUAAAGCUCUGUGGGGAGGGACGAAUAAGCCUGGUAUUAACACCACCGGGCCCUGACGGUACCUCCUUAGCAAGCACCGGCUAACCCUGUGCCAGCAGCCGCGGUAAUACAGGGGGUGCAAACGUUGCUCGGAAUUAUUGGGCGUAAAGCGCACGUANGCGGUUCGUUAUGUCA
rnacentral:rRNA from 1 species